CCAGUCUGGUGCCAGCAGCUGCGGUAAUUCCAGCUCUGCGAGUUUGCUCCCAUAUUGUUGCAGUUAAAACGCCCGUAGUCUGAAUUGGCCAGCAAUGGUCGUACGUAUUUUUACGUUCACUGUGAACAAAUCAGGACGCUUAGAGUAUGGCCACAUGAAUGACUCAGCGCAGUAUGAAGUCUUUGUUUUCUUCCGAAAACAAGCUCAAUGAGAGCCAUCGGGGGUAGAUCUAUCUCAUGACGAGUGGUGGAAUACUUUGACUCAUGAGAGAGAAGCUGAGGCGAAGGCGUCUACCUAGAGGGUUUCUGUCGAUCAAGGGCGAGAGUAGGAGUAUCCAACAGGAUUAGAGACCCUGGUAGUUCCUACCUUAAACGAUGCCGACAGGAGUUUGUCAUUUGUUAAUGGCAGAAUCUUUGGAGAAAUCAUAGUUCUUGGGCUCUGGGGGAACUACGACCGCAAGGCUGAAACUUGAAGGAAUUGACGGAAGGGCACACCAGGGGUGGAGCCUGUGGCUUAAUUUGAAUCAACACGGGGAAACUUACCAGGACCAGAUGUUUUUUAUGACUGACAGGCUUCGGGUCUUUCAGGAUAUUGUUUUUGGUGGUGCAUGGCCGUUGGUGGUGCGUGGGUUGACCUGUCUAGCGUUGAUUCAGCUAACGAGCGAGAUUAUCGCCAAUUAUUUACUUUGCCGAAGUCCUUCGGUUAAAGUUCUAAUUGGGACUCCCUGCGAUUUUAGCAGGUGGAAGAGGGUAGCAAUAACAGGUCCGUGAUGCCCUUUAGAUGCUCUGGGCUGCACGCGUGCUACAAUGUUAGGAUCAAUAGGACUGCGAGCCUGAGAGGGUGCGCUACUCUUAUAAUCCCUAACGUAGUUGGGAUUGACGUUUGUAAUCAGCGUCAUGAACCAGGAAUCCCUUGUAAAUGUGUGUCACAACGCACGUUGAAUACGUCCCUGCCCUUUGUACACACCGCCCGUCGCUCCUACCGAUUGGAUGACUCGGUGAAAUCA
rnacentral:ncRNA from 2 species